rnacentral:rRNA from 1 species
UUUUAGGCUUCGGCAUGGGGGAACCCUGACGACGACGCCGCGUGGGGACGACGUAAUCGGGAUGUAAUAUAAAUUCUGAGGAUGAUCAUCACGAAGUGAACACAAUUCGUGAUGACGCUACCUUAGGAAAAGCUCCGGCCAAAUCCGUGCCAGCAGCCGCGGUAACACGGGGGGAUCAAACAAUCUUCGGAAUCCUGGGCGUAAAUUGCGCGUAGCGGCCCCGUAAGUGGUGUCUGAAAUGUCUGGCUUAACCAGGGAAUUGCGUCCAAAUGCGAGGCUUUGAGGGCAGUAGAGGAAGCUUGGAAUCCAGGCUCUAGCGGUGAACUGCGUAGAUCUCUUGAGGAACCCCAUCGGUGAAGGGGAGCUUUUUUUGCUGUCUUCUUUCUCUUCUUGCGCGAAAACUUUUGGAGCAAACAAGAAUAUAUACCCUUGUUUCUCCCACCCUCUAACGGUGAACACCUAACUCUGGGAGGUGUCGACCUCCUCCCCUCCCGCACCCAACGCACCUAACGCCC